GAUGAACGCUGGCGGCGUGCCUAAUACAUGCAAGUAGAACGCUGAAGGAGGAGCUUGCUCUUCUGGAUGAGUUGCGAACGGGUGAGUAACGCGUAGGUAACCUGCCUGGUAGCGGGGGAUAACUAUUGGAAACGAUAGCUAAUACCGCAUGACAACAGUUAUUGCAUGAUAACUGUUUAAAAGGGGCAACUGCUCCACUACCAGAUGGACCUGCGUUGUAUUAGCUAGUUGGUGAGGUAACGGCUCACCAAGGCGACGAUACAUAGCCGACCUGAGAGGGUGAUCGGCCACACUGGGACUGAGACACGGCCCAGACUCCUACGGGAGGCAGCAGUAGGGAAUCUUCGGCAAUGGACGGAAGUCUGACCGAGCAACGCCGCGUGAGUGAAGAAGGGUUUCGGAUCGUAAAGCUCUGUUGUAAGAGAAGAACGAGUGUGAGGGUGGAAAGUUCACACUGUGACGGUAUCUUACCAGAAAGGGACGGCUAACUACGUG
rnacentral:rRNA from 1 species